UCUGCUAGUCGAACGAACUCAUGGUAUUGAUUGGUGCUUGCAUCAUGAUUUACAUUUGAGUGAGUGGCGAACUGGUGAGUAACACGUGGGAAACCUGCCCAGAAGCGGGGGAUAACACCUGGAAACAGAUGCUAAUACCGCAUAACAACUUGGACCGCAUGGUCCGAGUUUGAAAGAUGGCUUCGGCUAUCACUUCUGGAUGGUCCCGCGGCGUAUUAGCUAGAUGGUGAGGUAACGGCUCACCAUGGCAAUGAUACGUAGCCGACCUGAGAGGGUAAUCGGCCACAUUGGGACUGAGACACGGCCCAAACUCCUACGGGAGGCAGCAGUAGGGAAUCUUCCACAAUGGACGAAAGUCUGAUGGAGCAACGCCGCGUGAGUGAAGAAGGGUUUCGGCUCGUAAAACUCUGUUGUUAAAGAAGAACAUAUCUGAGAGUAACUGUUCAGGUAUUGACGGUAUUUAACCAGAAAGCCACGGCUAACUACGUGCCAGCAGCCGCGGUAAUACGUAGGUGGCAAGCGUUGUCCGGAUUUAUUGGGCGUAAAGCGAGCGCAGGCGGUUUUUUAAGUCUGAUGUGAAAGCCUUCGGCUCAACCGAAGAAGUGCAUCGGAAACUGGGAAACUUGAGUGCAGAAGAGGACAGUGGAACUCCAUGUGUAGCGGUGAAAUGCGUAGAUAUAUGGAAGAACACCAGUGGCGAAGGCGGCUGUCUGGUCUGUAACUGACGCUGAGGCUCGAAAGUAUGGGUAGCAAACAGGAUUAGAUACCCUGGUAGUCCAUACCGUACACGAUGAAUGCUAAGUGUUGGAGGGUUUCCGCCCUUCAGUGCUGCAGCUAACGCAUUAAGCAUUCCGCCUGGGGAGUACGGCCGCAAGUCUGACACUCAAAGGAAUUGACGGAGGCACGCACAAGCGGUGCAGCAUGUGGUUCAAUUCGAAGCUACGCGAAGAACCUUACCAGGUCUUGACAUACUAUGCCAAUCUAAGAGAUUAGACGUUCCCUUCGGGAAAUGGAUACAGGUGGUGCAUGGUUGUCGUCAGCUCGUGUCGUGAGAAGUUGGGUUAAUCCCGCACGAGCCCACCCUUAUUAUCGGUGCCACCUUAAGUGGGCACCCUGUGGGACUACCGUUACAACCGGAG
rnacentral:rRNA from 1 species